rnacentral:rRNA from 1 species
AGCGAACGCUGGCGGCAGGCCUAACACAUGCAAGUCGAACGAACCUUUCGGGGUUAGUGGCGGACGGGUGAGUAACACGUGGGAACGUGCCUUUAGGUUCGGAAUAACUCAGGGAAACUUGUGCUAAUACCGAAUGUGCCCUUCGGGGGAAAGAUUUAUCGCCUUUAGAGCGGCCCGCGUCUGAUUAACUAGUUGGUUGAGGUAAUGGCUCACCAAGGCGACGAUCAGUAGCUGGUCUGAGAGGAUGAUCAGCCACAUUGGGACUGAGACACGGCCCAAACUCCUACGGGAGGCAGCAGUGGGGAAUCUUGCGCAAUGGGCGAAAGCCUGACGCAGCCAUGCCGCGUGAAUGAUGAAGGUCUUAGGAUUGUAAAAUUCUUUCACCGGGGACGAUAAUGACGGUACCCGGAGAAGAAGCCCCGGCUAACUUCGUG